rnacentral:rRNA from 1 species
UAGAGUUUGAUCAUGGCUCAGAUUGAACGCUGGCGGCAGGCUUAACACAUGCAAGUCGAGCGGUAGCACAAGGGAGCUUGCUCCCUGGGUGACGAGCGGCKGGACGGGUGAGUAAUGUCUGGGAAACUGCCUGAUGGAGGGGGAUAACUACUGGAAACGGUAGCUAAUACCGCAUAACGUCGCAAGACCAAAGAGGGGGACCUUCGGGCCUCUUGCCAUCAGAUGUGCCCAGAUGGGAUUAGCUAGUAGGUGGGGUAAUGGCUCGCCUAGGCGACGAUCCCUAGCUGGUCUGAGAGGAUGACCAGCCACACUGGAACUGAGACACGGUCCAGACUCCUACGGGAGGCAGCAGUGGGGAAUAUUGCACAAUGGGCGCAAGCCUGAUGCAGCCAUGCCGCGUGUGUGAAGAAGGCCUUCGGGUUGUAAAGCACUUUCAGCGAGGAGGAAGGUGGUGAGCUUAAUACGCUCAUCAAUUGACGUUACUCGCAGAAGAAGCACCGGCUAACUCCGUGCCAGCAGCCGCGGUAAUACGGAGGGUGCAAGCGUUAAUCGGAAUUACUGGGCGUAAAGCGCACGCAGGCGGUUUGUUAAGUCAGAUGUGAAAUCCCCGGGCUCAACCUGGGAACUGCAUUUGAAACUGGCAAGCUAGAGUCUCGUAGAGGGGGGUAGAAUUCCAGGUGUAGCGGUGAAAUGCGUAGAGAUCUGGAGGAAUACCGGUGGCGAAGGCGGCCCCCUGGACGAAGACUGACGCUCAGUGCGAAAGCGUG